AAACCCGGACUGUGUCGUAUGUGC
rnacentral:miRNA from 1 species